rnacentral:rRNA from 1 species
GACGAACGCUGGCGGCGUGCCUAAUACAUGCAAGUAGAACGCUGAAGGAGGAGCUUGCUUCUCUGGAUGAGUUGCGAACGGGUGAGUAACGCGUAGGUAACCUGCCUGGUAGUGGGGGAUGACUAUUGGAAACGAUAGCUAAUACCGCAUAAUAGCAGUUGUUGCAUGAUAACUGUUUGAAAGGUGCAAUUGCACCGCUACCAGAUGGACCUGCGUUGUAUUAGCUAGUUGGUGGGGUAACGGCUCACCAAGGCGACGAUACAUAGCCGACCUGAGAGGGUGAUCGGCCACACUGGGACUGAGACACGGCCCAGACUCCUACGGGAGGCAGCAGUAGGGAAUCUUCGGCAAUGGACGGAAGUCUGACCGAGCAACGCCGCGUGAGUGAAGAAGGUUUUCGGAUCGUAAAGCUCUGUUGUAAGAGAAGAACGAGUGUGAGAGUGGAAAGUUCACACUGUGACGGUAUCUUACCAGAAAGGGACGGCUAACUACGUG